AAAGAAGAUUAAAUUACUGAAAAGCCCUGGUUGCAGCGAUUGAGAACUAAGAUAGAAGUUGGUGUGCGUGGUAAGUAAUUUGUUGUUGGACUGGAUCAAAUUGGAAAAUUGAGAAAGCAACAAGGAUAGAGAAGAAGAAGAAGGUGGUGGCUCCUCCUUGGAAUCGGAAGGUCCUGUUCCAGAGGCCAAAACAGAAACCCCAAUCUCAGAUGGCAAUGGCAUCUCAUUCGACAAUCAGAGUGAAAUUUUUCGGGCCAUUGAAGUUGUAGAGCGUGACUCUUUGGCCAUCUUCUCUCUUCGCUUCCCUCCGUUUGGCCCUCUUCGAAUCCACCUCCACCUCACUCCAUCACAUGCAGUGCUUCACCGAUGCCACCGGUCGCCUUCAGGAAUCUGAUUGGACGAGGAGAUGAAGAGUGUUGAUGGUCUUGCCUCUCAAUUAAAAAUCCUAAGAAAGCAUGUUGAUGCUCUGGACGCAGCUGUUAAAAAGCUUCUUCAUAUCCCCUGACACUGGGGGAUUCAGUCUUGUGCAAGGUUUUUUUCUGUUUCCCAUAACAAACUCUUAAAAGAAGUUGAAAUAUCUAUCAUAUCAUGGAUUGUGCUGAGAUAGUGAUGAAGUGCAAGUAAAGCAACAGAAUAUUUUUCUCUUUCGGCAGUUAAUAUAGGAGGUAGAGAACUGGUGAUGUUUCCCCUUUUCCCCUAAUAAACACAAGGGAUAAAGAGUUUACAGAUUGUUCCCCGUGUUACAAUCUGUAUGUCACAAGAUUUUUCUAGUGCACACUAUGGUUGAAGUUUUAGAUGUUGAUGAUUUUGUGUCCGCGCCUUUGUCUUGAUCACUGUGCUGUUAAUAGUUGUUUGGAUACAGAACUCUGGGAAUGAAAGUACUUAGAGACUAGAGUGGCAUAUUUUGAUGCUUUAUUUUGUUCUGAAAUGGGUGGUAUAAACAUUAUAUGCUUCUUGUUGAGAAAUCUAUGCCCGUCCAUCUUGCAGAAAGAUGGGAUGAGAUAAGCUGUCUUUACUCUCUGUUUUUUUUCUAUGAUGCCACACUCAGAAAGAAAAAAAGAAAGAUGGAAUGUCUGGCAUGUAUAAGAAUACGACCUUUUGACGACUAGGCCUGGAUUCUAUAUGUUGCACUGGCAAACACGAAAAUAAAUAUUUCGAAUCCAAGCUCAUGAAUUUCAUCUACAAGGCUACUUUAGCAAGUGUUUGAAUUUCACCUACAAGGCAACUUGAGCUAUUUUCCAUGUGACAUGCUUAUGCUUUGAAAGCCCAACUCCAUUUUAAACAUUCUGAAUUAGGAAUUUAGGAUAGACAGCUCACUGUUAGCUAACCUAUGAUUCAUGUGUAACUUACAUUCUCUGAUGGUAAAAGUGGGUAAAAGACGCUAAUAACGGGUGAAAUCAUUAACUGGAACUGAAUAUGAUGUAUAGUGAUUUGAUUCUUGAAAUGUAUUACUGUGUAAGGGAAUGAUAGAUGCCAUAGUUUGCAAGAUAUAUAAUAGAAUUUGGAUU